UAGCUCAAAAUUAUCAUUAAUUUAUUUAAUUAGUUUAUUUGUUGAAAAUACAAUUUUAAAUUCUUUUCGCUAGUUCGGGACUUGGUUUCCCUCACGCUAAGAUGGGGUAACACCUUUGUUGGAUUUGGGUUUGCGGGGGGGCUGGAAGAGUGCGAGUCUUGCACGUCUUUGUCUGGGAACGCAGGCGUGACCGCGUUUCAGCCAGGCCAGCUGACACGUUGUUUGCUGCAGUUCCAGAGAAACGCGGCGCAGACUUGUUUGUCGUUUUUUUUUGAGGCCAGCUGAGAGCGCAGAUUGUGCGCAGUCGCCGUGCGCAGGCGAGUGUCGCAAUCUAGCGGCCGGUUUUCUGACUACGUGGGCAACCUGGCGCGGCCGACCGCGCGGCCGGCUUGUUGUAAUAACUUUACGUGUUUGUAAAACACAGGAAAACUUCCCGUCAGGAUGUUUUCCCCGUAGGGGUUUUGCGGCCAAGAAAAUAGCUUAAAAGAGAUGUAAAAUGUUUUCGCGGGGCGGUAAUCCUGUGGAAGGCUGUCAUGCUGCCCGGCCGCGCGGCGACUUGGUAAUGGUUAGUUAAUCCCGCAAAGCCCUAGUCGCGAAGCCACGCAACUGCAGAUCGGGCUUGGUGCUCGUCUCGCGGAACGAGUGGUCGCGGCGCACGCGCUGCAGUUGGCGCGGUCUGCUCCACGGCGGCGUGUACGUGGGGUUCCUGCGGCUGGAAGCUGCCUGGUUCACGACGAGCCGGUUUACACUGCGGCAUUUCGCUGGGCCCGUAGCAGCUCAUCUCUGAAACCCAUUCUCCUGGUGCAAGAACUGUAUGAGUUGGUGACGUCACAGUCGACUGCAGCUCUUGAGGCCGGAGUGCGGCGGCGCCAGGAGGCAGCGGCCGCCGGCACCGCCCAGACGGACACCUGGGCAUCAUGAACCCACACACCGGUGACCGGCGGGGUACAGCAGGGCGAGUAGCCACACCACCUCCAAGGCGAGUGCAACUCUGCAGUUAGUGCUGCUCACUCGCCAGCGAGUCACGGACAGCUGAUGUUCGUGGCCAGCCCUACCCGAUCAUUUCGUCAUCUUUGACAUAUUGUUUGUACCCUACAACGUCAUAGAAGCAAAUUAAUUUAAAAAAGUACCCUUUUUAAAGAGCUCUGUCGGACUGGUGUGCGAUAUAGCGAUAUAGCAACCGAUUAAAAAUAAUCAACAACAGGGGAGGUUUGUGAGGGUGGUCACACUGUCGUAAGGCGGUCGCUUAUGAACCAAAUAUUUUGAUUACUGAGCGCAGGUCUCCCAGCACUGCUUGCCUCUUGUAUGUGAACUCGGCCAAAUAACUAAUGAUUAGUGCCGUCCUGAUGCGUUGGGGAAAUACACUCUCUUCGUGUUGCGAUCUGCAACCCUUAGAAAAUUAAAAGUCCUCACCAACAUUCUCACUUGUUCGGGAUAUUUGUCAGGUGUCUCCUCAGUUGGGGAUAUGGAUGGUGUCUCAUGCUGUUGACAGGGUGGACAUUGAAUUGAUUCCUUCUCAACUAUGUGUACUGGUGGCUGUCGUCAUCGGACAGCAAGCCUCCACGCCACGGUGCACACUGGCCAACCCACCGACCUUGAGAUAUAUAGACUGUUCAUCGUCCUGUUGCUCUCGGGCCAUUUGCUGCUGUCGACGGCAGACUGGGGAACUACAAUCCGAGCGAGAGCGAUAAUAGAGAUGUUUUGACAGCUUGGUGGGCAUAACAAAGCUGCAAUAGCGUUGGUACUUAUCAUGGAAGCUUUAAGUAGCUACUAAAACCCCUUAAAAUGUAGGUUUUUCGUAAUUUUACAGUUUUUGCAGAUGAUGCAUAAAGACGGAACGAGUGACAAUUAAUGUUAGAAAUACAGUUUCGUUAUAGUGCGAUGAGUAAGUACGCUGUUUAAUGCGCUUGAGAAUUCGCUAAGUUUUCUUCGAACCAACGUUUCUGACCAACUUGUAGAUUAGUUAUUAAACCGACUUCGUUUAUUUAAGGUAGGUAA